rnacentral:lncRNA from 10 species
CGGCACCGGUGGGAGCUAGGCGCGAGGCUCGGAGUGCGGCCAGCGGGCGGAGGCGGUCUCGCAUCGGCGGCGACGGAGGGCUCAGGCGUCGUCGUUUGGGUGGGGGGCCGCUGAACUGACAAGCGACAUUUCAGCUCCUUUCACCCGCCGGAACCCCGGAGCCGGGGCCCGCUCAGCCGGCGUUACCAUGACCAAGGCCGGUAGCAAGGGCGGGAACCUCCGCGACAAGCUGGACGGCAACGAACUGGACCUGAGCCUCAGCGACCUGAAUGAGGUCCCGGUGAAGGAGCUGGUCAGUAUCGUCCCGCGAGGCCCAGGCGCCCACCUUCGCCGGGCGCUGGCCCCUACGUGGGCCACUUACUUUCCUCUUCUCUAAAAGCAUCAGUUUCCUUUUCUUUAAAAAGAAGCGGGGUGGUGGGACUAAGUCCCCUAGGAGGCCGCGUCCAGCCCAAGGUUCUUCCCGGGAUGUACACGUGUCACUUUGGCGCAGUUCCAGAACAUAGGGAAGAUCUGCUUCUCUGGCCCUAGGCUUUUUACAGGCUAAGAAGCGAAUCUGUCACCUUUGCGGGGCUUUCACAGCGCCCACCUCCGUGCCCGACUCUGAGUAGGAGCACACGGAGCAGUUACUGGAUGUAUUCGAGAAUGAAUGAGUGACUUGUUCCAGGGGAGUAGGCCUCCUGGUAGACCUGGGUGUGGCCCAGAACCUGGCUCUUCUAGGAAGCUGGCAAUUCCAGCUGGCUGCCCGAGCCCUGAGGCAGCCUAACUCGAAGAAAGUAAAGUCUCCCCCCAGCUUGGCUGGUAAACUGUCAUCUGAAUUCCGCUGAAACUGGCGGGAGUCCCUUUCGCCCCUCUCUCCCCCAACCUUUCCCCUGUAAACUGAAGCUUACAGCUCCAGAGAGAUAGCAGGCAUCUAGUUUUGUCAGCGUGGAGCUAGUUCCCACAUCCCUCCUUUUCCCACUCCGUUCCCCCUCCCACCCGCGCCAACGCCCUACUAGACUCACUUUGGGUGACCCACACUUUGCUUUCUGCCGUUGAUAAAUUACAUUUGCCUUGGGCGCUGGGCCCAGUCUUUCUUCCACCGUGGACGGGUAUUACAGUGGUUAGAACCGGGUUCCUAGCUCCUCCCAGCUCCAUUGCUUAAUAGCCGAGUGCCCUUGGCAAGCUAGUUAGCCUUUAUGCCUAGAUCUCCUCAUCUAUACAAUGGUGAUAAUAGUUUCCAUCUCAUACGCUUAUUGGGAGGUUAAAUACCAUUGUAAUGGAAAAUGCUUGGAAGGAGCAAAUACUGAUACUUGUAGCUGUUGUUGUGUUUUUCCCGCUGUAGUAUUUAAAACUUUUUUAGGUGGUCAAACUUCACUUUUACGACUUUGUGACAGAAAGUGCAGGUUGCCAGAGGAUCCUUAACUGAAUAUAUGCCUCCUUUUCUACCCCAGGAAGAUAGAUGGCCAGCCUUAUUUCACCCUGCCCUAGGACUGCUCUCUGAAACCAUAUACUCCAGGCAUCUGAACAGUCCAGCAUUAACCUUAGGGAGAAA